rnacentral:tRNA from 6 species
GCUUAGGUAGCUCAGCUGGCUAGAGCGCUGGUCUCAUAAGCCGGAGGUCGGGAGUUCGAGUCUCCCCCUAAGCACCA